GGAUGUGAGGGUGAUCUGGCUGUGAUGUCUAUCACCCCAUGGAUUGCCAGGGUUGAUACCUCUGAUCUGACUGGCUGGGCAGGUGUCCCCUUCCUCCCACACUGCUCUAUGUAUGUCCCUCCCGAAGCACAGCUUCAUGGAAUAGAGGAGGACUGGUCUUUGGUCAAGGGUUUACGAGUAGCUGAACUUUCCUGCUAGAACCUCCUAACAAGCUCUGAAGCUGUAUGUGUAUUCUAUAUGGCUUCAUUAGAACAUUGGACAUCAAGGUCCACCACGGCUAAGCCCAGACUGGGUAUGGACGUAUUU
ensembl:misc_RNA 7SK 7SK RNA